GCAACACUCCUUUUGCGCCAAUUACUGUUUAUCAGGGGUUUCAUUUGCGCCAAAUUUUGUUUUCCAAAUGUAUCAAUUGCGCCAAUAUUCGGAACUCAUUUGCGCCACUUUACCUGUACACAUGUAUAUCAUAAAUAUUAAUGAUUAAUAUUUAUUCUUAUGUUUGGCUUAAAAAGUAUCAUAUGUUCGGAGAUAUAUUUCACCAUGAAGAUGAGCAUCUGGAGAGAAAUGACUUGAAGUGCAUUAGACAGUCCAUGUACAGAGAGAGAAGAAACAUUAUUGCUUUGCUG
rnacentral:lncRNA from 1 species